CAACCCUUAAGCCUAGCUUAGUGUUGGGAGACUGCCUAAUACGCAGCUCCUCAAAACCAGUGGCAGAGUUUAUUCGUACUCUGAGCGCAGUAAUUUUUUAUCUCGCUUCUGUAAGACGAUUAGACGAUAGCCAUAAACCGCAUCCCUCGGGAGCACUUUUUUAAU
rnacentral:misc_RNA from 1 species